rnacentral:misc_RNA from 1 species
GAAAUGCGAUAAGUAAUGUGAAUUGCAGAAUUCAGUGAAUCAUCGAAUCUUUGAACGCACAUUGCGCCCGCCAGUAUUCUGGCGGGCAUGCCUGUUCGAGCGUCAUUACAACCCUCAGGCCCCCGGGCCUGGCGUUGGGGAUCGGCGGAAGCCCCCUGCGGGCACAACGCCGUCCCCCAAAUACAGUGGCGGUCCCGCCGCAGCUUCCAUUGCGUAGUAGCUAACACCUCGCAACUGGAGAGCGGCGCGGCCACGCCGUAAAACACCCAACUUCUGAAUGUUGACCUCGAAUCAGGUAGGAAUACCCGCUGAACUUCAGCA